GUUCAGGUGGCAUAGUGGUUAGAACGUCUACCUCAGAUGCGGGAGGUCGCGGCUUCGAACCGCGGCUGACUUACA